CUUGUCGCACAGAUAAAAAUUGAAAAGAGAGGGUUUUAAGCUUGAAGCGAAAAUGGAAGACUGUGCAUGGAGGUUACAUGGGAAGUCGAGAAGGGAAUGGGGUUUCGAAAAGUGGAAAUGGGAACAGUGGGGGCAGAUUGGGGAAGAUGGAUGAUAGCUGGCAACAGGCUGGAGUCAAUUGCCAGAAUGGAUGGAACGGAAGCUGACGGUAAGGUCAAAUUUCAUAUAAAGUCCUUGUUUUAUGCAUUUAUUUUAGAUUUAGUCUCUCUACUAUAAUUUGAUCAUUUCUAUUUUCGAAAAAUUUAUUUUCAGUCCCCAUGUUAUUUUUCAUGAAUUCUGUGAAAUAAUUUAACAUGAUUUAUUUUUUAAACAUGUAAUGACAUGAUAUAUAUUCUUUGAC